UCCCUCUUAGCUCAGUGGUAGAGCGCGUCACUAGUAUAAAUACAACAUGACGAGGUCAGUCGUUCAAGUCGGCUAGAGGGAA